rnacentral:rRNA from 1 species
AUUGAACGCUGGCGGCAGGCCUAACACAUGCAAGUCGAGCGGAUGAAGGGAGCUUGCUCCUGGAUUCAGCGGCGGACGGGUGAGUAAUGCCUAGGAAUCUGCCUGGUAGUGGGGGAUAACGUCCGGAAACGGGCGCUAAUACCGCAUACGUCCUGAGGGAGAAAGGGGGGGAUCUUCGGACCUCACGCUAUCAGAUGAGCCUAGGUCGGAUUAGCUAGUUGGUGGGGUAAAGGCCUACCAAGGCGACGAUCCGUAACUGGUCUGAGAGGAUGAUCAGUCACACUGGAACUGAGACACGGUCCAGACUCCUACGGGAGGCAGCAGUGGGGAAUAUUGGACAAUGGGCGAAAGCCUGAUCCAGCAAUGCCGCGUGUGUGAAGAAGGUCUUCGGAUUGUAAAGCACUUUAAGUUGGGAGGAAGGGCAGUAAGUUAAUCCCUUGCUGUUUUGACGUUACCAACAGAAUAAGCACCGGCUAACUUCGUG